UACGUAGGUGGCAAGCGUUGUCCGGAAUUAUUGGGCGUAAAGCGCGCGCAGGCGGUCCUUUAAGUCUGAUGUGAAAGCCCACGGCUCAACCGUGGAGGGUCAUUGGAAACUGGGGGACUUGAGUGCAGAAGAGGAAAGCGGAAUUCCACGUGUAGCGGUGAAAUGCGUAGAGAUGUGGAGGAACACCAGUGGCGAAGGCGCUUCUGGUCUGUAACUGACGCUGAGGCGCGAAAGCGUGGGAGCAAACAGG
rnacentral:rRNA from 1 species